rnacentral:rRNA from 1 species
GACAGAGGGUGCAAACGUUGUUCGGAAUUACUGGGCGUAAAGCGCGUGUAGGCGGCCCUGCAAGUCGGGCGUGAAAUCCCAUGGCUCAACCAUGGAAGUGCACUCGAAACUGCAGGGCUAGAGUCCUGGAGAGGAAGGUGGAAUGCUUGGUGUAGAGGUGAAAUUCGUAGAUAUCAAGCGGAACACCGGUGGCGAAGGCGGCCUUCCGGACAGUGACUGACGCUGAGACGCGAAAGCGUGGGGAGCAAACAGG